rnacentral:rRNA from 1 species
UACGUAGGGGGCUAGCGUUGUCCGGAUUUAUUGGGCGUAAAGAGCGUGUAGGCGGCCAGGUAGGUCUGCUGUGAAAACUCGAGGCUCAACCUCGAGACGUCGGCGGAAACCAUCUGGCUAGAGUCCGGAAGAGGAGAGUGGAAUUCCUGGUGUAGCGGUGAAAUGCGCAGAUAUCAGGAAGAACACCCGUGGCGAAGGCGGCUCUCUGGUACGGAACUGACGCUGAGACGCGAAAGCGUGGGGAGCGAACAGG